AACGCAGAUCGCCUUAUCGACGCGUCUUUAAUGACGGGUAGGAAAGUCCGGACACCACAGAGUAGCAUAGCGGAUAACAUCCGUCGGUUUCGUCUUUACGGACGGGAUUAGGACAAGUGCAACAGAAAGUAUGUACAGGUAAUGCUGUAGUGAAACCAGGUAAACUCUAUGCGGUGAAAUUUCAAGUAUAUCAGCAUUUAAGGGUUACUCGCCCGUUGCUGAAGGGUAGAAAGAUGGACCUCGUUAGUAAUAUCGAGGCUAGAUAAAUGAUAAGGCCUUAUAAUUUAUAAGGACAGAAUCCGGCUUAUAGAUCUGCAUUUUUU
rnacentral:RNase_P_RNA from 1 species